rnacentral:rRNA from 1 species
GACGGAGGAUGCAAGUGUUAUCCGGAAUCACUGGGCGUAAAGCGUCUGUAGGUGGUCAAAUAAGUCAACUGUUAAAUCUUGAGGCUCAACCUCAAAAUCGCAGUCGAAACUAUUAGACUAGAGUAUAGUAGGGGUAAAGGGAAUUUCCAGUGGAGCGGUGAAAUGCGUAGAGAUUGGAAAGAACACCGGUGGCGAAGGCGGCUAUCUGGACCGACAUUGACGCUGAGGCGCGAAAGCGUGGGGAGCAAACAGG